GCCACCCAGCAUGGAAUCCUUGUUGCUAGGCAACCACCCUGGAGAAGGGAAAGAAACCCACUGGGCCUGGAAGUAUGGGAUAGCAGGGUGGGUGGGGUGGUUGGCAUUUUUUUGUUUUGGUUUCUUAAGGAAAAAGUCAGUUGUAGAAGAAAAGAAAUGUGGUCCUGAAACAAAUGGAAACUAAAAGGGAACAAUCUGACUUCAGUAGCUCAGAGGAAGGUCAAAGAGUCUUUUUAUUUACUUUCUACUCCUUCAGGCCCAAGAUUCUUGUGCCUCCCCAAGAGAACGUACUGACCUCCCUGUCCUCAUCCCAAGGGGCACAGAAAACCAAAGACAAACACUUGCUCUUAACUGGGAAUGCAGCACUCUAUGUUGAAGCAUUACUCUGCUAGAGAACUAAGACACAGAAGAACCUGGGGUGGAAUGCCUAGAGUAUAUGUUUCCACCAUGCCCAGGCCUGUCUGAAGCCAAAAAGGUCCAGCAGCUAACCAGGGCCUGUUCUGUCCCUCAAGAAGUCACCUGCUGGAAUAUGAAUUGCUGAGUGUUGGAGGAGGCUGAGAUAGCAUUGAAGUCCAACAUCCAGUGAAACUGUAGAGAGGAAGGAGUCAGAAAGUGAGCAUCAGGGGAAUAUAAGGAAAGAGACAAAGGAUCUUAGGAGAAAGAAAAUUCAGUUAAAUAUUUUGAACAUAAGCAGAUAAACUGAUAAAGAUACUAAAAAUAGAAAGGAAUAUAGCCUCCAGAACAUCCAGAAUAUGAACACAUAAUACAAAACAAAGGAAUAUGAAUCAUUGCCUAGGGAAGCAGAGAACUCUGGAUUCCUAAGGGAGAAUGGAACCACAGCAGGAUAUUAAUGAAUGGUUUAAAAGAAAAAUAAUUGGGAAAGCAUGCACAGCAGAAAUAAUUGACAUAAUAGAUAAAUUUGAAUGCACUGUGCAAAGUCUUACCAAAGAAACAAAAGAAUAAGUUGAUUGGGAAUAUAAAUAUAAAGAAAUGAAGGACAAUCUGGAGGAAGAGAAGAAAAAAAUAAGUUUAAAAGAAAACAUGAUCUUCAUAUAAGCAAAAUAAAAUGUUCUAGAAAAUAGGAUGUGGUGUUAUAAUUUAAGGAUUAUAGGUCUCCCAAAAGAACAAGAUAAGUAAAAAAACCUGAACUUGAUAAUGCAAGAAAUAAUACAAGAAAAUAUCCCUGAAGUUUUGAACAUAGAAAAGUGUGCCAACUGAAAAAACUCAAAUUACUUCCAGAAAACGAGCAAAAGCCCUAAACAUUGUGGUUAAAUUGAACUAUUCUACUGAUAAAUUCUGCAAGCAACCAGGGGAAGGCCUUCCAAUAUAAAGGAAAGGAAAUUUAAACACACCACUACUCCAUAGCCUUCUUCCCUUUAUUGCCUCCCCCAAAACCACAGGAGGGAAUGGAAUGAUAUAUUUGAAGAGUAAAGGCUUCAAGAGAUAACCCAGAGUGAAAUGCCUUGUAAACCUGAACCUAAAGCACUAAGAAAUAAAAAAGAUGCUCAAUAAAAAUAAAAGAGGCAUUCUAAGCAUUACUAGAAAGAAAACUAGACAUGAGCAAAUUAUUCACUUUGCUAACAUCCCAGAAGACAGUAACAUAGGAAAGGUAAACAAAUAUUAUAAACAACAACCAGCACAAAAUAAGAGAUUCAGAUUUCUUUCUAAAAAUAUGAAAGGAGGAGCUGAUAGGUGACUCAGGUGGAGUGAGAGCAAGAGCUAGAGAUGGGAGUCCUGAGUUAAAAUUUGACCUCAGAUACUUCUUAGCUGUGUAACCCUGGGCAAGUCACUUAACUCCAGUUGCCUAGCUCUUCAGCCUUGAUACCAGUACUUAGUAUUGUUUCCAAGACAGAAAGUUAGGGUUUAGGAAAAAGAAAAAAAUAUGAAAGGAAGCAAAUUUGAAAUUAGAAGUCAAAUAGAAAUGAUGGGGAAACGGGCCCUCAAAAUCACUCCACCUUUCCAACCAAUAGAUCAAUCCUUCUGUGGGACUGAAUUAUAGAAUAGGAGGGCACAUAAUAGGGGAGAGAAAAGGAAGAAGAUAGAGGGGAAUAUGUGUUGUAUUCUAAUUAUGUCAACAGUUAAUAAUGAAGGGAAAAUAACCCUAUAGUCUCUGAGGAAGACGACAGCAUACAGGAGAAUGGGUGAGGAAACACCGAAUAGCAGGGAAAGAGUUGUUGCUGUUUUUCAGUAGUAGGAGGCAAUACCACUGACAAAUGCUCCCAAUGGGGAAGAGAGCUAUUCUAUAAAGGGAAAUGAAGACCUUAUAGUGGGUAUAAUCUGCAGGGAUUUGGUGUUGAGAGAGAUUACUCAUCCUGCUGCAGGAGAGGGAGAAUCAGGCCUCCUGGGCGAACAGAUGAAUCAGAGGGCACAGAGAGGAGAUUUCCUGACAAAUGAAGCGAAAUGGCUAUGGGAAGGGCAAAGUUAAUAAUAAAUAAUAAAGUUAAUUAUAAAAGUUAAUGAUGAACUGAUCAUUCAGGGAUGUGGGAAAAAAAUCCCACCUGCCAGGGAAUGAUAUUCUAUCACCAGGAGUAUAUGGCAUGAGGGCUUGCUAAGCUCCUUUCAGGGCUGUUUCUCUACCUUUGGUGUCCACCUUUCACCCAACCCUCAAUUGUGGCUCCAAGAAGCUGUAGUGUACACAGUGGUGACAUUUCAGCACAACUAUCACAGCAGACAGACUAAAACAAAUUGAAGGUGACCAACAAGCCUCAGAUCUGUCAGUGAGUUAGGGGAAUGUCUUCUCCAAGCAUGUGAAGACUUCAGAGGAAUGGGAAGAUGGGCACAUUGUUCCAACAGCCAUGAAGGCCUGGGCCAUCACUGGUCAUCCUGGACUUCAAUGACUCUUUAAGAGUGAGGCUGAUAACUUUAACUCUGCUUCACUCAAAUCCAAUCCAUAAAUAAAUCAAGACAUCACCCCAUAGUGCCCUUGAUCCUCUUUGAAAAUGAAGGACAAACAGCAACAUUCUAUUACCUGUAAGAAUUGGUAUUUCUAAGAGUGGGGCAUGGCAGGUAAAGGGGGUAAGGGAUCAAGCUCUAGACAGCAAUAACAUAGAAAAGGUUUAAAAGAGGUAACCUAAAAUAGGUUCCUUAGAAACUUUAAUUCCAUGGAAAAUAAAGAAACUAAAAACCAGAGACUAAAGAAGGACUAAGUAUAAGGGCAAUGAACCAAAGAAUUAAAGUCUGGAAUAGAAAGAAAAAGAAGAUAAGUAAUUAACUGUACAAGGGAAUAGGAAAUCCUUUUUAGGAAAAAAAGGCAAUGAAAAUGAAAUUUUAAAAUCUAACAAAACAAGUUGAAAGGGAAUAGAGGAAGAGGGGAUUUACUUGAGCACUUAAUUAACCAAGAGGGAAAAAAACGGAGUAGCUUUAAAUAACUGGAUAAAAUGAAAAAAAGAAAGAAAAGGGAAAUAAUAAAAAAUAGGGAAAGAGUAACAAACUGGAGGUGGGGAGGGGUAUUGUAGGUAAAGGGUAGAGAGUUGGUGGGAAUAGAGUUGUCUUAAAGUACACUAAGCAAAAAUAACUGAAGUGAUUUUGUGCUGUGUUUAUAUAGGAAAAGGAGAGAAAUUCUAAUUUGAAAAAAAGUAUUGGAAGCAAAUGGAGUAAAACAAAAAUCUCAUAACUUUAUGUGAAUAGAUUAAACAAACUAAUAAAAUGAAACAGAAUGACAAAUGGAAUAAGGAAGCAAAAUUCCAUAAUCAAUUGCUUAGGAGAAAUAUACCUAAGAAACAAAGUCAUAUAUAGAAUUAAAAAUGUUAGUCUGGAACAAAUUUUACUACACCUCAGGUGAAUCUUAAAAAAAAAAAAUCAACCCCCCAGACUAACAACAUAAAAUGAAAUAAACUCCAUAAACUAAAAGUAAUCAUAGAUCGCAAACUAAUAUCAACAUAAACUUGUAUCUUCUAAAUCCUGAGCAUUUAAAUUCAUAAAGGAAAGAUUAACUGAAUCACAAGAAGAUAUAGGUAGUAAGACAACAGUGCUAUGAAAUUUCAGUGUUAUUUUUUUUCAGUUUUUUACAAAUCAAACAAAGAUAACAAAAAGGAAAAUACAGAAUUGAAAAAAAUUUCCAGAGAAACUUGAGCUAAAUGAUUUAUGGCAUCUUCUAAAUGGGUCUACUAAAUGUGUAUUUUUCAGCACUGCAUGAAACUUUUACAAAAACUGAUCAUGUGUUAGAUAGAACACAGUGAUAUUAUAAACAAAUAUAAAAAAGCUGAAAUAAUAAACAUAUCCAUUUCAGAUUAUAACAUAAUAAAAAGAGUGCAAAAUUAGUUCAUGGACACAGACCCAAAUGGAGACUUAAUAAUAAUGAAAUCUUAAACAAUGAAUGGUCAAAGAACAAAUCGUAGACAUGAUAAUUGUGUGGAAAAAAUGAUAAUGAUGAAACAACAUACCAAAAUUUCUAGGGUGCAACUAAAGCAGAAUAAAAAUCACAUCCCAAGGGGGCAGCUGGGUAGCUCAGUGUGUUGAGAGCUAGGCCUAGAGACGGGAGGUCCUAGGUUCAAAUCUGACCUCAGACACUUCCCAGUUGUGUGACCCUGGGCAAGUCACUUGACCCCCAUUGCCUAGCCCUUACCACUCUUCUGCCUUGGAGCCAAUACACAGUAUUGACUCCAAGACAGAAGGUAAGGGUUUAAAAAAAAAAAUCACAUCCCUAACAAAAUACAGUAACAAAAUGGAAAAAUUGAGAGUAUUUAUGAACUGAAUACACAUUUUAAAAAGUUAGCCAACAAACAUAACCAAAGGAACCACAAAGGGAGGAUGAUAUUAAAAAUUAGAGAAGGAGAAAAACUGGAAAUCCAAGAAAAACUCUAGAAAUGUUAAAUAAAAUUCAAAUUUUAUUUUUUCAGCCUUUAGCCAAUCUCAUUAAAAAGAAUAGAACAGUGUCAUCCAGGUGGCUCAGUGGACUGAGAGCCAGGCCUAGAGACUGGAGGUUCUCAGUUUAAAUCUGGCUUCAGUCAUUUCCUAGCUGUAUAAUCCUGGGCAAGUCACUUAACCAGCAUUGCCUAGCCCUUACCACUUUUCUGCCUUGGAACCAAUACACAGUAUUGAUUCUAAGAAAAGCUCAGGAUUUAAAAAAAAAUAUUAGAGCAAAAAUCAAGUCAAUAAAAUAGCAAAUAAACAAGAUAAAGUCACAAUAAAACCAGAAGAAGUAAAAAAAUAUAAUCAGGAUCUACUAUGGACAGCAAAAUGCUAACAAAGAAUGUGGAAGAAACUGGGGAUACCUUCAAAAACAUGAAAUUCUCAAACUACCAUAAAACUAAAUAGAAAUCUUAAUCCAAAUUCAGGGAGGUAAGAUAGAACUGGAUAUUAAAGAAACAACAAAGGGGGGGGGGGUACUUUUCCUGAUAGAUUCGUAGGAGAAUUCUCUCAAAAUUUUAAAGAAUAAUUAGUAAAUACAAUCUUAAUGCCCCCAGAAAGAAUAAAACACAGAACUAUGUACUGAUACCAUUUUUACAUUAAAAUUAUUUUUAUUGUCAUGCAAAAUACACUUCCAUAUUGGUAGUUAUUGUAAGAGCAUAUUCAUAUAUAGCCAAAACCCCCAAAUAAAACCAUAAAUACACUUGAUGUGAAAGAUGACUCCAACAAUUCUUUCUCUGGAGGGUGGAUAGCAUUCCCCAACAUAAGUCGAUCAGGAUUGUCUCAGAUCAUUGCUGAGAGUAGCCAAGUUUUCAAAGUUGAUCAUCAUACAAUAUUGUUGUUAUAAUGUUCUCCUGGUUCUACUUCUUUCACUCUGCAUCUGUUCAUGCAGAUCUUUCCAGCUUUUACUGAAAUCAUCUUGCUUCUCAUUUCUUAUAGCACAAUAGUAUUCCAUCACCAACAUGUACCACAAUUUGUCCAGCCAUUCUCCAAUUAAUUGGACAUCCCUUCAGUUUCCAAUUCUUUGCCACUAUAAAAAGAACUAUAAAUAUUUUUAUAUAAGUAGGUCCUUUCCCCCUUUUUAUUAUCUCUUUGGGAUACAGACCCAGUAAUGGUAUUACAGGAUCAAAAGAUAUGCAGAGUUUUAUAGUCUUUUGGGCAUAAUUUCAAAUUGUCCUCCAGAAUAAUUAGAUGUGUUCACAACUCCACCAAAAAUGCAUUAGUGUCCCAAUUUUGCCACAUCCCCUCCAACAUUUAUCACUUUCCUCUACUGCCAUAUUGGUCAGUCUGAUAGGUGUAGGUGUAUACUGAUAUCAUUAAUGAGAAUUAAUAAUUUUAAAAUAAAUCCUGUUAGAUGACAGCAAUUCCUCCAAGAAAUUGUUCAUAAACAGAUUGGAUUUAUACAAGGGAUGUAAAGAUGACUCAAUACAAGGAAAGCAAUCAAAAUAUAUUAAAAAUAAAAGCAACUCAAACUGCAUAGUUAUCUCAAUAGAUGAGGGAAAAGUCUUUGACAAAGGACAACAUAUUCAUAUGUUGAAUAAAAUGUAUUGACAUAAGCGGACCUUUUAUACAGUCACAAAAUGUAUUUAAGACCAAAAGAAAGCAUCACUGGAGCCUUUCCCAGUAAAUUCUGGAGUAAAGCAAAAAUAUCUGCUUUCUCCUCUGUUGUUUUGAUAGAGUUCUUAAAAUGCUAACAAAACAAGAAAAAAAUUUAAGGUAUGAUACAUAAUGAGAAGAUAAAAAUUAUCCCAUUUGCUGAAGAUAUAUUGGUCUAUUUAAGUAUUCUUUGAGAAUCAGCAAAGAUCCCAAUCAAGACAAUAUCUUCAGCUAAACAGCAGACUCAAAAAUCAACAGUUUCUCUAUAACAAUAAUACCUUUAAAUAAUAAUACCUUUAUAAUAACAUGUAAUAAGAUCUAAGAGGCAAUAAUAGAAAGGAAAAUCCUAGUCCAAUAUUAUAAGGAAUUUAGUGAAUGUUCAUUCUGUCUCAUUAGGAGCAGAAGUUUUAUUAAUAUAAUGCUGUGUUUAAGAAACGGCAAACAUCUUGCUUCUGGCUCUUUAAGUGGCUUAUGAUAAAAGAGAGAAUUUCAGUUGGUUCUGGGCUCCAUCUUCUCUGGGCUCUCUGUCAAGAAGUCUCUAACAGUUUGACUGGUGGCAGUUGGAGUUUGAGAACAGAUUUAAGGAAGUUGAAGAAGAAAAGACUUACUUUUAGUUAAGAGUCUAGUUACUGAGGGGUUUCCCUUCUCAGUACUCUAAAGGAGAUAGGUCUGACUUUGAGGCCUAUUCUUCACAGCUCUUUGAGGGGAGCUGCAGAACUGUCUGUGUGUGUGACAGACUGCUUUCAGCUGACCAUUACUAUAGGAAUUAAUUUAAGGAGUUUAUUAUAAAUUUAAGAUUCUUCAUUUAGCAUCGGGUACUAAGACAGAAUUUAAUCUUAGUUUAGAGAGAGUAGUUAAGUGUAGGUCUGCUCUGCAGACAAGAAGAAGCUGCAAAGAAAGCAGCCAGUUUUUUUUAAUUUAGAGAUUUUAGUGUAAGCUUAAGAGAUUUCCUAUCCUAUUCCUAACUUCUAGUUCUAUCCUUCUAUGUCCUCUCCCUACUUCUUCCCAUAGAAUAAGUAAAUAAGGAUUGGAUCAAACUGCUUCUGGCCUUCUAUCUACCGCCUACAAAUUAGUUUAACCCCUGACAGCUUUAGCAUAGCUACAGCAACUUUAGCUGAUCAAAUACAAGCCUCGGUUUACUCACAAUACCAAGUAGCUACAACAUAUAUAUAAAAUGUCUAUCUGUAGUUCAGUCUACCAAAGUGUACAAAAUAACUGUAUAGAUUUAAUUUUUAAAUUCCUCCUUAAUGAAAUAAGGAGUAACUUAAAAAGCUGGAGAAAUAUUCAGUGCUCAUGUCUGUGCCAUGCCAAUAUAAUAAAAAUGAUAGUAGUACCAAAAUUAUUUUAUAAUUUUAAUGCUAUACCAAUCAUUAAUGGGACACAUUACAAAGCUCAAUUAAAUAAUAACAUUCAUUUGGAAAAAUAAAACAUCUAGAAGAUCAAAGAAAAUAAUGAAGAGAUAGAGAAAAGGGGGAUAGCCCUUUCAACAUUUCAUAUUAUGCAAAAAGUAAUCAUCAUUAAAACUCUGGUAUUGUCUUAAAAAUAGAGCCAGAUCAAUGGACAAGACUAGACAAUGGUGAAUCUGAACCAAUGAAACUCAGUAUUCAGUAAAGUUCAAAAUACAAAUUUCUUAGGAAAAAAACUUAAGAAAAUUGGAAAGCGGUCUGCAGAAAUUGAUCUUAGUAAUUCUUUACAUAAAAUUGCAGAAUACAUUCUAAAUAGGUAUGAAACUUUAAUAUUAAAACUCAUACUGUAAAAAUAUUAGAAGAGAAGCAGAGCAUAUAUUUCACAGUGAUGGUUAGGUGAUAUCUUCUUAACUAAAAAAAAAGAUAGAGGCAAUUAUAAAAGAUAAAAUAGAAAACUUUGAUAAUGUGGAACUGAAAAGCUUUUUUUUUCUUUUUUUUCUGAAAAGCUUUAAAAAUUAAUGCAGUUAGGAUAAGAAGGGAAGAAAAUAAAUGGGGAAAUGGUGGGAAAUUACAUCAAAUUUCUCUGAUAAGGAUUUGGCAUCCAUGAUAUGUUAACAACAAAUUGAGCCUAAAAGCCAUUCCACAAUAAGGAUGGACAAAGUAUACAGUUUCCAAAAGGACAAUUCUAAACUCUUAAUAGCUAUAAGAAAAAAUGUUCCAAAUCUCUAAUAAGAGAAAUGCAAAUCAAAAUAAUAUUGGUUUCAUCUUGCCCCCUACAAAUUGGCAAAUAUGAGAAAAAAGGUGAAAAUAGUCAAUACUGGAGAGAUUGUGGGGAAAUGAGCAUAUUAGUACAUUGUUAAUGGAGUUGAGAAUAAGUACAUCCAUUUUAGAGAGCAAUUUGGAAUUAUGCAAAUAGAAGUCUAAAAUGUCCAUACUCUUUGCUCUUUGAUUGAGAUUUCAUUACUAAGUUUUUACCAUUAUAAGGCCAUUGAUAUGAAGGAAGUAUCUGUUUGCCAAAAUUUUUAUAGAAAUACUUUUUCUGAUAGUGAAGAAUUAGGAACAAAGUAGGUACCUGUGGAUUAAUGAAUGGCUAAACAAAUUAUGGUACAUAAAUGUAAAGGAAUAUCACUAGCUGUAAGGAAAUAAUGACAAUACAAUGAAUAAAGAGAAUCACAAAAAAGACUUGACCUGAUGAAAAUUGAAAUAAGCAGAGGCAAGAAAACAAAAUACACAGUGAUUAAACAAUGUAAAUGAAAAGCUCAAUUAUUAAUAAAAAUGAACAGUUACUGUGGCAAAAUUACAAAUAACAAACAUGACUUGGAAGAAGAGAUAUGAGAAAAGACUCCCACCCCUCUUCUUUGUACAGAUGGGAAGUCCACAGAUGUAUAUCAUAAACAUUUUCAGACUGUUUCACAGGAUUGACUGGUUAUACUGAAUUUUUCCUUAUUAUAUGAUAUAGCUGUCUGGAUUUGGCAAGAGGGGGAACACAGGGAGAAAUUACGUUGAUGUAAAAAAGACUGAAAAAAAUAAAGACUGAUUGAGGAUUGCAAAUUGAGGAUGCAAAACUUCUAUGAUUAUUCCUUGCCUUUUUAUGAAACAAAGAAUCACACAGCUCAAAAGGCUAGGCCAACCUGAGGGGGAAAAAUGGAGUUUCCCUCUAGCAGAGUUUAGUAAAAGAGGUGCUUUUGAGACUAAACUUCUCAGAACAUGUAACAUAAGAUUUCUGCUCAUGAAGUUGAUUUGUCCAGAUGGCACUUUGUUUUGAGAAACUUUGCUAUAGAAGCAGAAAUGAUACAGGAGAUGCAGAAAUAAAUUUAUCGUGCCAUAAUAAGGCAUUUCUCUACCAUUCAGGCAAGGUAGAUUGUUAUUCCCUAGCUAGCUUGGAACCAUGAAGGGGAAGUCUUGCUUCUUUCCCAAAAGUACAUCACCAAACCCCAACUUAUGGCGAACAACUUUAUGACUGGGCAACUUCACAAUGCUUCGUGAAGCAUCAAGAAUGCUGGGUGAUGGCUAGGGACAAUUAAAUCUAGAAAAUUAAAUUGCACCCAUAUGACAUUUCUUUUGCUGGUAGAAACUCUUGAGCUUAGCUCCUGGUUAAUGAGACUAACCAACUAAAAUAGAAAACUACCCGAUGAUGAGUUUCCAUCUGUAGUCAUAUGUAGUAUACACCAGGUGAGCUCCUCUCUGGCCUAGUGUGACCCUGCCUCCCUCCUCUGGCUAGCAUCUCCAUAGCCCACUCCUUAUGAAGUCUCAGAAUCAUUGUCUCCUUGCCAAGGGGCAAUGUCCCCCAGUCUCCAGCCCUACGAGGCCUUUUGUCUUCAAAUCCCUUCCUUGUGGAAUGUAAGACUUGAUCUUUCAUUUCAGGCUCAGCAAGCAUUAAUCAUACAAUCUAAAUGCUGCAAGGAAUCUCAGAGGGCCUAUAGUCCAAUUUCUCACCCUAUAUAGGAAUCCUUUUUACAACAUUCCUGACAGCCCUCCAGCUUUCAGGACAGAGCCCAAACCCAGGCCUUAGCACAGUCACUGCAAAUAGUAGGCACAUAAUAAAUGUCUAUUGACACCCUGACUGAUUGUUUGAAUACCUUCACUGAUAAGGUAGUCUGCUAAAAGUUAUAGUGAUGGGAAGAACAAUACAGCAAUAUCAAGCUAAUUAAGCUUUAAAUUACACUGAGACUUUUGGGACACCAAUACUAUAAGGGGGGGUUCUAUACUAUUAUUCAAUUGUUUUAUCAGUCAGAAAUUGAUCCCCCGAACUCAUGAGAAAUUUUCCUCUUUGAAACUUCUCCCAGUGCUUCCAGUUCAAUUUCCUCAAAUUAUAAGAAAUCUCAACUUUCCUCCUCAUGUUGGCCCUUCAAAUAUCUGAAUAUGGCUAAGACCUUUGCCCUGAGUUUUCUCUUCUCCAAAUUCAAUAGCCUUAAUUCCUCUAACUACUCUUCAGACAAGGGUCCCAGACACACUAACUCCAGUGGACACACUUUUGUCUGUGUCUCUCUUAACAUUUGAUAGAAACAGAGAAGAAAACAUAUGAUUUAUCCCUUGUUUAUUUGGGUAUAUGGUUUGGGGUUUUGGUUUUAAAAUUACUCCAUUACAAAAAUGAACAAUAUGGAAAUAGGUUUGGAGUGAUAAUCCAUGUAUAACCCAGUGGAAUUGCUUGGGAGGGGGGAGGGAAAAAGGGAGGGAGACAAAAUGAAUCAUGUAACAUUGGAAAACUUAUGUGUAGAUUUGUUACUGGAAUAAAAUAAGGGAAAAAAAUUUAAAUGUGACCUUCAGAACUGAAAGCUAUUCCAGUUGUGGGCUGUCUGAUUUGGAUUGCUAGGAAACCUCUACCUAUCUACUUUUACUAAUACCACAGACAGAAGAAACAAGGCACCAGGCCUUCUGAUUGCCCCUUAGAAUUGUCAUUGGACAAUUGGAAUUGUCAUUCCAAAGUAGCUUAAGAGCCUACUAUGUACAAAGCAUCCUAAGCCUGCUUGAGAAGCAAGGGAGCUUAAAGAGGCAGUAAGGUCAGAAAGGGAUGACUUUUAGUCUCACUCUUAGAUGUCUUGAGUUAUUGGAGACAUAUUCCUAGGAGCUGCUGAGGUAGAUCAUAGAGUUACAGAUUCACAACUGAAAGGGAUCUUAGAACUUAUCAAAUGCAACUCCCUCAUUUUUCAGAUGAGGAAACCGAGGCUCCCAGAGUUUAUUGUCUUGCCCAGAGUCAUGCAGCUAGUAAGAAUCUUGGGCAGAUUUCAAGCCCAGGUCUUCUUGACACCAUUUCUGCGUUCUACUACCAUGUCUUAUUGCUUCACCAUAGUGCCUUGGCAUCACUAACUUUUUAUAACUGUAGCCAAGACUGUUAUAGCCCACCCUGCCUGAGGUCUUUCCAGAUAACAAGAUCAUUCUCUCCUGAUUCUCUUUUGGUAAGUUACCUCUAUUACCUUCUGGUUCUAACUUUAAUCUUUCCUUGCCACUGCCACAAGAAUCCAAGACUUCUGGGAUCCAGUAUCUUUUCUCCUCCUGCAUGCCUUCACCAUCCCUUCUCCCAUCCCCUCAUUGGUGCCCUCAUUCCAAUCAGUAUUUCUCCUUCCCUGGUAACAUCAUGAUCUUCCUGUUUUUGUCCCAUGCCUGGGAAUUUCUGUUGCCUUGAGCUGUCUGGUACCCUAGAUGCCUGGCAAGAGCUGAUGGAAGUGGCUGAAAUUGUUUCUCUAAGAUCUUCUCAGGUCAAAGGGACAAAAGAGAGGACUGGAAGGAUAGCAAGUCUUGGGUGAGCUUGACACUAAAUCAUAAGACCAUAAAUUUAGAGCUGGAAGGUCCUCAUUCUACAAAGGAGAAAACUGAGCCCCAGGAAAACUGAGUGACUUGCCCAAGGUCAUCAAGUAGUAGUAAGUAGCAGAGGUGGAAUAUUAAAUCAAGUCCUCCGACUAGAAAUCCAGUUGUCUUUUUCCACUGUGCCAUAUUUUCUGUUUGUGUAGUGUCAGAGGCAAGAUUUCAGUAGAAGUCCUCUGCCUCUAUAUUCUCUCUCUAUGGAGAAAAGAGAGGACUAUCUGAUGGCACAGGUAAUUAUGGUGAGAUCAUUCUGUCCAGUUACUAGAGAAUACAUUGAUCUUGCUAUAUCUAUUUAGUUUUCAUUUACUGAUUUUAACAGCAUCCCUUGGGAAUGUAGGCAGAGGAGCCCAAGCAAGGCUACUGUGUAGUGGAGAAAUGGUUGAUUCUUUCUCUGAAGAUGAGAAAAGAUGUUUAAUCUCUAUUGACUACUGGGUAGUCUAUCAAUAACGGGGAGACAAAGUGAGUCCACUUGAGAACAUACAUUCACAACUAAAGAUCUAUUUUGUUUGGUUGUGGAAGUCAUGUGGUUAGGGCAUAGAGAGCCACACUUGGGGAAAUGGGUAAGCUAAUGGGGCAGAGAUAGUCCUUAGUCAACAUAACAUAGGUAGGGAUUUUACCAUUAGGGUCUGAACCACUUGAAAAGAUCCUGUAUGGGGAAGUAGUCAGAAAAGAGAAAGAGAUAGAAGAAUGAGAGAGAAAUUUCUAAAUGGUAAUACCAAGUAUAGAGACUCUCAGAGGAAGAGUGAGGCAGCUAAUGGUGAAAGCCUGUGGUGAACAUGAAUCAGCUUUGGAACCAGGUAGGAAAAUGUCUUUCCUCAUGGAUAGUCUUGGAGGAAAAAAAAAUUGAUAUUUUCUUACCCAUGAUCCAUGACUCUCAGAAGAGUGAGAAAUCUCAGGCCCAAUAAAUUGUGAGGUAGGGGGCUAAUAGGAGAAAACAUGUCCAAAUCCCAAUCCCUAUACCCAAUAGCUGAGAAAUAGGAAAGAAUAUCUUUGAAGGUUAAGAUAGAAUAGUCUUGGCAGGAUAAACUCAUAGCAGGGGAGUAAGAACUAAGUUUGUAUCAAGACCAAGUCAAGGCACAAGGAUAUUAGCAGAUUGAAGCCCAAACAGAGCAAGUCAAGUGUUCUCUGGCUGGUUCUAAGCAUCUGGAUUACACCAUAGGAAUUUUUGCAAUUUGUGUUAAGUUAACCUUUUCAUCUGUAUGCCAACUCCAUUGUAUGUUUACUUAUACUGCAUUGCAAAUAACUUAAUUUUUACAAUAUCAAAAAUGCUGAUAGGUUGUCAUUAGAGAAAAGGUGAAAUGUUGGGUAGGAGGGAGAGAAAACUCCUCUGGUCUGAAGGAGUCCUGGGACUCGGGGGAAAUCCAGAAAGGUCCAGGGAGAGGUGAUGGUGAUAACCCAGGCACUAGAUGGUACAGUGGAGCUGAGUAGAAAGCUGGGGUGGGGUCAUGGAGUACUGGCAAUGGUUUCUUGCUCUCAGCCUCAGGCUAAGUGGCCCAACAGAACCCUAGGUGCUGAGUGCCUGAAUGUAGAAUCUUUGUCUUUUAAUACAUAUACACAUGUGUAUAUUACCAAAAGGCAGCAAAGGAAAGGGACAGAAUCUUGAAUUCAGAGUCAGAGGACAUGGAUUUAAACCCCAUUUGGGCUGUUUUCUACCUCUGUGACAGUGAACAGGUCAGUUCCCUUCUCUUGGGCUCUGUGUUAGUAUCUGCAAAGUAAGAGGAAGAAUUCAAAAAUCUAGCUGGGCCCAUCCGGUUCUAAAUUCUAGAAUCCCAAAGUUAAAGUACAACUGAUUACAAUCUGUUGUACUGUUGACUGGAGAAUUAACCAAAAGAGGAAAAUAUAUAGUGGGAAUGAUUAGGAGAUCCCUACUCAAUUGAUUUAUAAAAUAAAAGGAGCAGAUAAUAGAGACAAACAGAUGUUAACAUCUGAAAUGGAGUUUAAAUAUCUGAUUAUUCUUUGCUACUCUCACAAGUUGUGAAACUCUUCAGUUGAAUUUGAUGGAAUUGGAGGAUGCCUAGUCAUUGACUGGCUUAAAAACCAGCCAAGGCCUUGGGGAUUUUUUAAAAAGAAAAACAUAAUCUCUUUAAAAUAAUUUAUAACAAAUGUUAUAGCACAUACUCUGUGCCCUGGCACUGUGCUUUAUAAUUAUUAUCUCAUGAGAUCCUCACAAAAAUCCUGGGAGGUGAAGAAAUGGAGGCAGACAGAGGUUAAGUGACUUACUUGCCCAGCAAGUAAAUGUCUAAGCAAAGGCAUUUACUGAGUUGGCAAAGUAAAAGCUAAUAAAAGCAAAACAUUUCUCCCCCAAAUCCUUGGGUAUUUGAACUUGGGUCUUCCUGACUCCAGGCCCAGGGCUCUAUCCGCUGUCUACCUUGCUGCCUCAUUCUAGGUAGUGAGUCAAGAAUCAAGAACCGUUCUUAUGAAGGUGAACUAAGAAGCUCUUAAGAAUUGUUGCUCUUUGUCUCUUGACGAAGUAGGGGAAAGGAAUUUCCUUCUUUCCCACAACCCCCCCCCCCCACUGCCAUUAUUAUGGCAUCUUGAAAUGAAAUUACUUGCUCAGUUGGAGCCACUAGGGUCAGCAGGAAAUAGACCCAGGAAGUCCAAUGGAGGUACUGUUCCCUUUGAGAUGGCAAAGGACACAGGCUACAGUGUUGGAUGUGUAAAUUGCCUGGGUCAUGUGUGUUCACCAUGUUUGCUUUAAAUAUGCUGUAUGCGUGUGCCCAUUCUUCUCACUGAUGUUUGUACUUGUGGGAAAGUGUGCCCCAGGUUUAUGGGGGCACAUUUGUUACUAGUCUUUACUUUGUCAUCUUAAUAAAUGACUUUGCUUGAACUAAUGGUGGCCUCUGGCUGUUUAAUAAGGGUAAAAUGCAUUGGUGGGGGCCCAAGAACUACAGUUAUGGGAGUUGUAGACCCACAAAGAACUGUGAGUCUGGGGCAGACACCUCCUGGGGGACCCAAUGUGGGAUUUUGAACUGGAGGAGUAGUCCUAGACUAAACACUACUAAGAAAAUCUAAAACAUGUUUAAUUGUAUAACAGUAAAACUAUAUUUGUUAUGUGCCUGUACAAUGUAACAAAAAGUAUAUAUACAUAUAUGUAUCUAUAUAUUUUCAUUUCAAA